GAUUGAACGCUGGCGGCAGGCCUAACACAUGCAAGUCGAGCGGUAGCACAGAGAGCUUGCUCUCGGGUGACGAGCGGCGGACGGGUGAGUAAUGUCUGGGAAACUGCCUGAUGGAGGGGGAUAACUACUGGAAACGGUAGCUAAUACCGCAUAAUGUCGCAAGACCAAAGUGGGGGACCUUCGGGCCUCAUGCCAUCAGAUGUGCCCAGAUGGGAUUAGCUAGUAGGUGGGGUAACGGCUCACCUAGGCGACGAUCCCUAGCUGGUCUGAGAGGAUGACCAGCCACACUGGAACUGAGACACGGUCCAGACUCCUACGGGAGGCAGCAGUGGGGAAUAUUGCACAAUGGGCGCAAGCCUGAUGCAGCCAUGCCGCGUGUGUGAAGAAGGCCUUCGGGUUGUAAAGCACUUUCAGCGGGGAGGAAGGCGAUAAGGUUAAUAACCUUGCCGAUUGACGUUACCCGCAGAAGAAGCACCGGCUAACUCCGUGCCAGCAGCCGCGGUAAUACGGAGGGUGCAAGCGUUAAUCGGAAUUACUGGGCGUAAAGCGCACGCAGGCGGUCUGUCAAGUCGGAUGUGAAAUCCCCGGGCUCAACCUGGGAACUGCAUUCGAAACUGGCAGGCUAGAGUCUUGUAGAGGGGGGUAGAAUUCCAGGUGUAGCGGUGAAAUGCGUAGAGAUCUGGAGGAAUACCGGUGGCGAAGGCGGCCCCCUGGACAAAGACUGACGCUCAGGUGCGAAAGCGUGGGGAGCAAACAGGAUUAGAUACCCUGGUAGUCCACGCCGUAAACGAUGUCGAUUUGGAGGUUGUGCCCUUGAGGCGUGGCUUCCGGAGCUAACGCGUUAAAUCGACCGCCUGGGGAGUACGGCCGCAAGGUUAAAACUCAAAUGAAUUGACGGGGGCCCGCACAAGCGGUGGAGCAUGUGGUUUAAUU
rnacentral:rRNA from 1 species